rnacentral:rRNA from 1 species
UGCCUUAGUAACUGCGAGUGAAGCGGCAAAAGCUCAAAUUUGAAAUCGGUGUCCUUUUCGGGCUUCGAGUUGUAAUUUGGAGGGACAACUUCGGUACGGACUACAUCGUAAGUUCCUUGGAACAGGACGUCAUAGAGGGUGAGAAUCCCGUGUCUUGGUGUUUGGCCGUGCCAUGUGAAGUGUCUCCGACGAGUCGAGUUGUUUGGGAAUGCAGCUCAAAAUGGGUGGUAAAUUUCAUCUAAAGCUAAAUAUUGGCGAGAGACCGAUAGCGCACAAGUAGAGUGAUCGAAAGAUGAAAAGCACUUUGAAAAGAGAGUUAAAAAGUACGUGAAAUUGUUGAAAGGGAAGCGCUUGCGACCAGACUCGAUCUUUGGUGAUCAGCCGGGCUUCGGUCCGGUGCCCUUACCAUUGAUUGGGCCAGCAUCGGUUCUGACGGCGGGAUAAAAGGAGGAGGAAUGUGGCUCCCUUCGGGGAGUGUUAUAGCCUCCCUCACAAUGCCGCCAGUUGGGACCGAGGACCGCGCUUCGGCUAGGAUGCUGGCGUAAUGGUCUUAAGCGACCCGUCUUGAAACACGGACCAAGGAGUCUAACAUCUAUGCGAGUGUUCGGGUGGAAAACCCUUGCGCGUAAUGAAAGUGAACGGAGGUGUGAACCCUUCACGGGGUGCAACAUCGACCGGUCCUGAUGUCUUCGGAAGGAUCUGAGUAAGAGCAUAGCUGUUGGGACCCGAAAGAUGGUGAACUAUGCCUGAAUAGGGUGAAGCCAGAGGAAACUCUGGUGGAGGCUCGCAGCGGUUCUGACGUGCAAAUCGAUCGUCAAAUUUGGGUAUAGGGGGCGAAAGACUAAUCGAACCAUCUAGUAGCUGGU